ACUCCACCUUUUUUGAAUCUUAAUGAUCAGACAAAUAAUGAUGAUAUACAUUUCAAUAUGAUUGGAGAAUGUUUGAAUUUUGGCCCCUGCGUAACCCUUCAUUG